rnacentral:rRNA from 1 species
UUAAACGGCCGCGGUAUUUUGACCGUGCAAAGGUAGCGCAAUCACUUGUCUUUUAAAUGAGGACCUGUAUGAAUGGUGGAACGAGGGCUUAACUGUCUCCCUCAUCUAGUCAAUGAAAUUGAUCUACCCGUGCAGAAGCGGGUAUAAAUAUACAAGACGAGAAGACCCUUUGGAGCUUAAGACAAAAGACCAACUAUGUCAAAAGUCCUAAAAAGAAACUAAACCAAAUAACACUGGUCUCAGUCUUCGGUUGGGGUGACCGCGGGAGAAAAUAAAGCUCCCACGCGGACAGGGGUAUUCCCCAAAACUAAGAGAGACAUCUCUAAGGCACAGAACAUCUGACCACAAGAUCCGGCCACGCCGAUCAACGGACCAAGUUACCCUAGGGAUAACAGCGCAAUCCCCUCCCAGAGUCCAUAUCGACAAGGGGGUUUACGACCUCGAUGUUGGAUCAGGAC